CAGUGUGUGUGAUGACAGCUGAUGAGAAUAUGAGGAGGAGGACCCGCGAUGGGGCGCCUGAGGUCACCAGGACAAGGCCAUGACCGAGACCAAGACAUGAAGUGUGAAGACAUGAGCUCGUGUGCAUGAGAGCAAAUGGAUUAAGAACUGCAUGCGAAUGGUUGGUGACAGUGGUAUGCGAGUCAGGUGGGUGAGCAGAGAGGAAGGGAGGCGUUUCUUUGAAUGGAAGGUGACUGACAGGAACAGUGAGGGUCUAGAAUGGGAUGUGAGAAAGUGGAAGAGAGAGAUAGACAGUGCAGUGAAAGGUGACGGUCUGAGGAGGUGGAAGCAUGCGAUGGAGCGAAAGACUACUUUGGAGUGGUACAGGGAAAAGGAAGCCCCGCAGUGUGUCAGCAUGCAUGAUGGAAGCCUGGGUGGUGAUCUUCUCUUCCAAGCUCGAGCGCAGUGUAUGAAUGUGAAUGCAAGAAAUUACAGGUGGUCUGAGUCCCGCAGCAAAGUGUAUCAGAUGUGUGACAGGGUUGUGGUUGAAACUGUGGCGUAUGUGAUGCUGGUGUGUGGGAGGUACCGGAGAGAAAGGACGGAUAUGAUGAGGGUGGCACUGAUGGGCUGGGAGGUGAAUGGGAGGAUUGCAAGAACGGAGAGGGAAUGGAUGCUGGUGUGUGGGAGGUGCCGGAGAUGAUGAGGGUGGCACUGAUGGGCUGGGAGGUGAAUGGAAGGAUUGCAAGAACGGAGAGGGAAUGGAUGCUGGUGUGUGGGAGGUGCCGGAGAUGAUGAGGGUGGCACUGAUGGGCUGGGAGGUGAAUGGGAGGAUUGCAAGAACGGAGAGGGAAUGGAUGCUGGUGUGUGGGAGGUACUGGAGAUGAUGAGGGUGGCACUGAUGGGCUGGGAGGUGAAUGGGAGGAUUGCAAGAACGGAGAGGGAAUGGAUGCUGGUGUGUGGGAGGUACUGGAGAUGAUGAGGGUGGCACUGAUGGGCUGGGAGGUGAAUGGGAGGAUUGCAAGAACGGAGAGGGAAUGGAUGCUGGUGUGUGGGAGGUACUGGAGAUGAUGAGGGUGGCACUGAUGGGCUGGGAGGUGAAUGGGAGGAUUGCAGGAACAGAGAGGGAAUGGAUGCUGCUGCUGCUGGGACAGUGCUGAAGCAAAUGAGAGAAUUAUAGAAGCCAUGAAGAGUUUUCUGUGGUGUGCAAGAAAUAGGGAAUAGGAUGAUUAGUAAUGGAUACUGCUUGUUUUGUUUUGUUUUUCCAGGUUGUGGCGAUAUGAAGGCUGACUCUCCAACGGGUCACUGUACAGCAAGAGCAAACUCGCUGCUGCUGACUCCUGUUUCUGCUGCUGCCCCUGCUGACUCCUGCUGCUGCUGCUGGUGACCCCUGCUGGUGCUGGUGCCGCCGUCACAGUCAGCACUCCACACAGCAGCCUCCGUCCAGUGGUGACCCCAAGACUCCGUGCCCGGGGCGAGGGUGGAGAAGAAGACUGUAUAGCAAGGUGUGGCCGCGCUCCAAGCUCUUCCGCACCUAGAGAUGCCUGUCACAACUCAAACACCAACAGCAACUUCACAACUUUCAGUGAAGAAAGCUGGUGGAAGCGGCGCCUGACUGGUCAAGUUGGAACUGACCUCAGAGGGAGGAGCUGAGGAAGGGACAGCCUGUGGGGUGGGGGAAGCAAUCAAUCAGAGAGAGAGAGAGAGAGAGAGAGA